UACGUAGGGUGCGAGCGUUAAUCGGAAUUACUGGGCGUAAAGCGUGCGCAGGCGGUUUUGUAAGCCAGAUGUGAAAUCCCCCGGGCUUAACCUGGGAAUGGCAUUUGGGACUGCAAGGCUUGAGUGCGGCAGAGGAGACUGGAAUUCCCGGUGUAGCGGUGGAAUGCGUAGAGAUCGGGAAGAACACCAGUGGCGAAGGCGGUCUGCUGGGCCGUUGCUGACGCUGAGGCGCGACAGCGUGGGGAGCAAACAGG
rnacentral:rRNA from 1 species